GAGUUGUUAAUAUAUAGGUGGGUUUUGUGUUAACUAGAGUAGAACCUCUAUAAAUUAAUAAUGUUGAAAUUUUAAAAUUUUAUUAAUUUAUAGAGAUAGUAAUUACAAAAAAUUUCUUAUUUAGAUUUCUUAUUUUAAGAUAAGAAAAAUAUUUGAUUUUAGUGUAUAGACAUUAAUUGUUAUUUCUGAAAUUUGAAAUAUUU
rnacentral:lncRNA from 1 species